UCAGCCCCUCUAACAGCAGUCCUCCCGAAUUUCCCCCACCGCGACCUAUGCCUAGACACCCGUGGCAGCGUUCGGCCAGUUGCCGCGAAUUGUACGCGUCUAGCUUCGAGGAUUCGGGGAAAGCGCGAUCCUCGGUGGCCAAGGACGAGGAGAGGGGACCUCCUACCGGCGAUCAUCAUCCCGUUUCCGACCUACCUUUCCGUCUACCGUCCCAGGGCGAGCUUGAUAAUCCCGUGACGCGAUACGACGAGAGCAAUCGAUCGUACAGCGCUGCCAGCUCUAAAUUGCCAUCGCUCGAUCACGAUUCGGCGGUGGUGCCGGAUCGCGUAUACAGUAGCUCUUAUCCAGGGACAUCCUCUUUAUCGACCGAGUCGGGCCACGAGGAAUCGGGGCCCGCCGGCGACUUAUCCCACGACGAUCUAUCUCACGACUCUUACGAACUUUUGGAACGCGAGCACGAAUUUGAAUAUCCGGAAUCGUACUCGAGCCCCCGUGACGAGGAGGAGGAGGAGGGGGAGGAGGCGAUGUCGGAGAGAAGCGACGAGGGGAUCGAGCACGAAAUGUUCCAAAUGGAUUCGGAGACCGAUUCCUUCGUCAAACACCGUUCGAUCAGAUCGACGGAGAGGCAACAAUUCAAAUCGGUGCUCGCCGACCUUAAGAAAGACGCUAGGACGAGAUCGACCGAUCGGUACACGAAAUCGGAUACCGAUUACGUAACCGUCGAGUCGCGCAUACAACGGUCGAGCACUCAGAUCGAGAGAAAAUUCGAGACUCGACACGCCAACUCGAUAGAACAAUUCCAACAGCAACAGCAGCAGCAACAACAACAACAACAACAGCAACUACAACAACAGAAUAAACUCGCUCUUCCGCAUCAGGAUUCGGGUAGGAAGGAUCCGGUCGUGUUGCAGGUGCAAAAGCAAAAAAUGUCCGUGUUGAACGAGUUGAAAAGCUUGAAGCCCAAGUACAAGAUCACCCACGUAGAUUCGGAGAUUUUACGGGACGAGGGUAUCAUGCGGCCGAAAUCUCGCAUAGACGACGAUCUCAGCCCGGUGGAUUCGACCAAUAGGACGAUACUCGAUCAACAACAACAAAGAGGUAGAACGGUUCGAGCGCGUAGUGUAGCCAGUUUGGAGGAUCACGUAUUGGUGUCGCGCGUGUACGUGGAAACGGGUAGUUUAGGCCGUGGCGUUCGUAACGAUGGUAACAAGGAACGAAAAGCGACGUUGCAGGACAAGGAGAAUCGUACGAAGGCACGCGUCGAUUCUUCGAGGGAGCACGAUCGUAGAAAGUCGGUUGAGAGAGGGGGGGAGUCGAGGAGGAAAUUCGAAUCCUCGUCCCCGCAUCCCCGCCGGGAGGGGAGAGAGUUGCGCAGAAGCAUCGAGAGGUUGGACGCGCGGGAGAGAAGCUACGAGCGUCUCGAUUCGCGGGCGGAGAGAUCGUUCCUCCUCCGCCAUGCGGAUUCGUACGAGUCGCGUGGGAGGAGCGUGGAACGUUUGGACAUUCAGGGUUUACGCGGCAGCACCGAGUAUCUGAACAAAAUUUCCAAAGAUAGAUCGAGGGAACACAGGCACGCGACGUCCGAGCGUCGGGAGAGAAGCGUGGAACGAUUGGAUUCGAAGGAGAGGAGGAGGAGCCCUCGGCGAAGCGGCAACGCCGCGUUCGACCACAGCCAGAGGCACACGUUGGAGAGGUUCGAUUCGUUCGGCGGGAACAGAAGUCCGCUCGAACGUUUCGGAAGGGAACAACAGUACAGAGGGAAGAGCGUGGAAAGGUUGGACUCGAGGGAGAGGCCGACCUUCGAUUUCGAUCCCGUCACGAUCGAACGUUUGAAGUCGUUGGAGAGAUACAACAACAACAACAACAUCAACAACAACAUCAACGCCAACAACAACAAUAACAACAACGUCUCGAAGGACAAAGGCGUGCAUGAGAGGAAGGGGGAGCGGAGGCACGGGGAGCGAAAGUACUCGGAUUCGAGGAGGAGCUUGGACCACGAGCCGCACGAUUGGAGGAGGAGCAGCGUGGAGAGGAUCGAGUGCAAGGAGUCGUGGAGGAAAACGGCGGCUAAGUCGAUGGAGAAGCCCCGCGAGAGGGACGAUUGGAGGAGUUUGGAGAGGGCGCGGAAGGACGAGGAGAAGAGGGAGAGGGAGCGCCAGGCUCAACGGCUCUCGAUCGAGUCGAGGACUGACACCGUGAUCGGCGUCCCGAUCGAGAUGGAGAAUCUCAAGUCGAAGACCUCUCUGUUCACCGAGUACGAUCCCAAGAUCGUGGGCGGGGUUGUGCUGGGCUUCGAGGAUUCGAUGCCGAGCCACACCCCCGUCGAGCGCACGAAGAGCGAUCCGAAUCCUGCCCGACAGAGGUUGGGCUCGAACAGCAAACGUCACAUACUGAUGCAUCAAAAGUCGAUCGACUUGACGCCGGCCGACUCGGGGGACGAGGACCCGUUCUCGGACACGGCGGCCAUGCAGAGGACCAACGUCGAGAUACCUUACACGUUGCACAAACGGCACGUGAUGAACGGCACCGCAUCCGACGAAAAAUCCGAGUCCGACAGCGGAAAAACUGGUGGCUCCACCACUGCAACGACGACCACUACCGCCACCACCACUACUGCGACAACUACGACAACUACGACUACUACGAGCGUUCGAGAUCUUCCCAAAUUACCGCUCAAGAUGAUCACCGAUAUCUCCUGCUUCGAUCUCUCGAAACUCUCCUCGAUAGACAAACCCGCCAAACUCUCGCCCACUCGACCGAGAUCCAUACUCUCGAGCCCCUCGUCCGAUAAACCGAAAAGCAUCCUGAGCCCCGUGUCAAAAUUAUCGCCUACCGAGCACUCGAGCAAGAGUCCACCGUCGAAAGUGUCGUCGCCCGAGAAAACGAUCCCCGUUUCGAAACCGUCUUCCACCGUGGAGAGGAAAGGGUCGUCGAAAUUGUCACCGGUCGAGGCGAGCGUGACGAUCGUCUCCUCGACGUCGUCGGCGAAAGCGUCGCCCACCGACCCGAGCGUGACCAUACUCACGAUGCAGAAGAAAAAAUCACCGACCGAGAAGGGGAUAACGAUCGGUCAGAGGUCGUCCCUCGACUCGAAGACCGGCAAACCUUUGUUGAACUUCGCCGAUGUGGUCGGAAUGGAGAUGAGGAUGAAGUUGGAGAGGAAGUCGAGAUCCGAGAACGUGUCCGAGGCGAGGAAGGAGGACAGUUUGAGGACGCCGGACGACAGUUUGGAGAAGCAGGACAGUAUAGAGAAGAUACCGUUGCCGGAGAUCCCACCGAGGCCGGAGGAGGAAGAGAAGGAGGAGGAGGAGGAGAGGAAGGGAGAGGAGAGACCCAAGAUUUUGGAGAAGCCCAGCAUACCCGAGAAAACGAAGCGUAUAUUGGAGAAGAUAGAGUCGAGGUUGUUCGAGGCGAGGAUCGGUAGGCCGAAGAUCAUAGACACUGGUUACGACGAUUUCGUGGAGCCGGUGGCCGAUCUCCCGCUGGACGAGGUGCCCGUGAUCAAGCCCGCCCUGGAAUUGGACAGUCUGAAAGUUCCUGAAUUCGUCCCGUUCGUGUCCCGGCCCCACGGCGAGCCCCUCCGCUCGAAAUCGUUGUCGCUGGCCGAGGAGAAGGCGCCCAUAGACACUCUCCUCUCCCCCGAGGUGGAGAACAAACACUUCGUGCCGGACGUGUCGCCGAAGAGAGCGAAGAGGGCGGCGAAACAGGAGCCGAAGAAGGAUUUCAAGAAACAGUCCAAGUCGCUCGAGGCCGACAAACCGCCUCUCAAGAAAACCGCUUCGAAGGAGUCGCGCGCUUCGACCCCGAGCUCCUCCAAGAUCGACAAAUCGAAACUGAAACUGGGCGAGAUGCCUCAGGAGAUCAUCAUAAUAGACUCGACCGACGUUGCGCCCGAGGUGAGCAUCGUUCAGAAAGGCAGAUCCAAGUCGAUCACCCGUUUGCCCGAGAAGGAGGAGCAAGGGAAAAGCGGCGGUGCCCGAGCGAAAUCUGCCUCCGUCGACGACGAUCUCAUAAAGAUUGGCGGCUCCGCGAUGAAAUCGGAAAAAUCGAGGCCGAAAUCUCUGGGCAUAUCGAAGAGCUUGAGCGGCGGUGGCGAGAGGAAAGACUCGGCCGAGAGAAUCUCGCCCAAGCGAACGAUCGUUGCAAGGGGAGCAUGCGCGAAACCCCCCACCACCGUCGAGAUAAAGUCGCCCACUUCGAAGGAGACGGUCGCGUGGAAACAACAACAACAGCGAAGCCAGAAGCAGGAGACGGAGAUAGGUGGAGAUCGGGAGAGGAAGUCGGGCCAGACUCCUGUCCUCUUCGCACGCGCGCGUCUGGGUCUUUCGGAGGGGAGCGGGAUAGGGGCGCUGCAGAGGCAGGGGGCGACACAGUCGCCCACCUCUCAGAGACGGGCCAAGUCGUUGGACGCGCCAGUGAUCGCCGUGCACAAGCUGCCACCUGUGAACGCGUUCUCGAGCAAAGACGACACCGUCGAGGAGACGGCUGAGGAGGGGGGGAAGCCGCCGGACGGCGAGGCGGCGAGGCACAGCGUGGCAACAGCGCCUCCUUCGAAAGCGCAGGUGGCGCAAUCUGUACAGGUCGAGGUGUCCCCGAAUCAUAGCACGACGACGACCACUACGGAUCACACCACCGUGCCGGAGAUAUUCACGGAUUCUCUCUCGGUGACCGAGACCUCGGCCCAAUAUCUCGAGUCACCGCUCACCGAGUGCAACGAGAUCGUGGCCAGUGCCGAUUUGAUCCCGUACGAGAGGGACGCGGUCCGGUUGGAGGCGAACGGAAAGGACACGAUGCUGGAAUCGGUCAAGGUGGACGAGAGAACCAGAUUCAUCGACCAGAGUUCCGUCGAGUCGGGGGAGCAGGAGGUGGUGGCUAGGAUGGGGGAGAAGAUAGAUCUGUUGACGGUCUCGAGGACCGUGGAUUCCUCGAUCCCUCGAAGAUCGAGCAGCGACGAGGAGACGAGGGAAGAAAGAAGAGGAAGAGGCGACGUUGUCGAGGUAGAUCUCCCCGACGUGACGGUGACCGCAGCCACCAUGGAAACGAUAACGUUCCCCAAAUCGAUCGAUUUGGACGACGGCCAGGACAUGGUCAAGUCGCCUAUUCAGAUCUCGAUCGAGGAGUGUUCGGACGAGGAGCAGGAGGAGGAGGAGGAAGAGGAAGAGGAGGAGGAGGAGGUUCAAAGCGAAGGAGAGGGGAAGGAGCCGGAGGGGGAGGAGAACAAGCCGUUGGAUUCCGUGGACACGAGCGAGGACACGCUCGACGCUUUGGACACCCAGGUCCAUAUGAGAGGCAUCGACAGCGAGUUGAGCUCCCCUGAUUACGGCGUCGACAAGAUGGACGAGAAAACGUUGGUCGAAGUUGAGCUGACCCCCGAAUACUUGGAGAUGAGACGAGAGGACGAAGAUGGAGGUGAAUUGGUAGCCGAGGAACUGCCCAAAGACGAGGAGGAGGAGGAGGAGGAGGAAGAGGAAGCGGUGGUAGUCGAAGAGACGACGACCAAAUUAUCGACGGACGAGGUCGUAACCCCGAGCUCGAAUCGUUUGUCCGUGGAGAAGAAGCUAAGGUUGAGCAGCGAACGUUCGAGGAGCGAGGAGACGGUUACCUGGACGCCCGAUCGCGAGGAUCCGGAAUCCAGCUCGUGUUCCAUCGCCAGGCCGCUAGGGAUCGGGCAGAUCCAGCCGAUAGUCGGCCGUCGAGAAGAAACGAUCGAGGACGAGGGUAGCAACGGGUCCCUAAGACAGCCCGAGUUCACAGCCUCCACCUGGAAAUCGUUCCCCGCCGAAAGUUCCGGCAGCUCGAGCGCCGAAGAGGGUUGGCCGCCUCCUGGCCAGGACGAGAGCAACGCCGUACAAUCGCAGUCGGAGGACAGCAACGGGCAAAACGAGGACAGUUUUCAGGAGGACCUGGCCGAUUUCCCCGGCACGUUCAUCUAUCCUAUCGGGCCCGAUAUCUUGACCAGUUGCGGCACCUUCGCUCUCACGCGUACCCUCUCCAGGAUAUCCGAGAGAUCGACCACCUCGGAACAGGACAAGAGCGACUUGGAGGAUUCGUUCAAGCCUAGCUCGAGAUCGCCGAGUUUGGACGACGAGUCGUUGAUAUCGAGCGAUCAUCAACUGUCUCUCUCCUCCGAUCCCCCAUCAGGCACGCCUCUCCCUUCUAUAUCCGAGGAUCGACGCACCUCGUCCGAGUUGCCCGACAUACCGAUAGACGUGACGAUGGGCGAGCAACAACAGCAGCAGCAGCAGCAGCAAUACGAGAAGGGGGAGGAAGGGGAGGAGGCGAAAUGUCAAACGGUGAGAUCGAAGUUGCAGGAGCAAAGUUCGGAGGAUUGGCCGACUCCUCCUAGCUCGCCCGUGUUCGAGCCGCCUCCAUCGUCCAUGGUGAGUCACGUGGAGACGUGUUAUUCGGAGAUCAAGCCCGAGGAAGCGGUGAAAGUGACGGUGACGGACAGCACGGAGACGCCGGAUCGAAUGGAAGCGGGCAGCGACUCGAGCGACGAGAAUCGAACGUUGCACGACGAUCUUCACUCGACGUUCCUCGAGGACGGACAAAGCUCAACCUCCGCCACCACUGUGGACGGCACCGUGAAGAUAGCGAUAAAACCGAAGUCGAACUCUCACGUGACAGGUUCCUCGCACAGCGAGGACACGUCUAUGGGCCUCUCCAUGUCCGAAUGGUCGAGUUCGAACAACACGGUGCGGCAAUUCUGUCAAUAUUCGGGCACGAAAUCGGACGACAACUCGUUGGCCGAGCUCGGCGCAUCGAUCUCGGAUUGGUCGGGUAGCACGACCGUGAUACCUCAGCAACACUCGUCUUACUCCCUGGUCGAGAAGAGUCAAAGCGACACGACCACGAGCGACAAGAGCGUGACGAGCAUGAGGCCGAAUUCCAAGUGCAAGACGAGCGAGGGCUCGCCGCUCGCAGCGCCCUCUUCGCCGCCUCUGCCGCCGCCCCCCACCUCGCCCCCGAUUACCUCGCCGCCGGAUCAUCACCGUCACGCCUCGACGUCGUUGGAUGUUGCCGAGGAACGAUCGAAGGUGAGGAGAUCGAUCGAGGGUCAAUCGUCCCGGCGAGGGGUCUCGUCAUCACCGCCCCGGAUAACCGUGACGCGGAACGAGUUCGACGAGGAGGCGAUCGACGACGAGUUUCGAUUGAUCUCGUCGGACGACGGGUGCGACGCGCCGUUGCCAAUUCUCGAGGAGGAGGAGGAGUUGGACGAGCAACUGUUGGAGAGUUCGCUCGGCUCGAGGAGGAGGAGGAGGGGACGGGAGGGGGAAGUGGAUCGACUGUACGACAACGUGCCGGCUAUGAAGUACUCGAGCGGUGAUCAGAUUCGAAUGGAGGUGGGGCGUGGGGGUGGUGGUAGCUCGGAGGAUAUGCACGAGAAGUAUGCGGAUUUGGGCACGUUGGGCCCUCGACAGGUCGACGACGAUUGGUCGUUCGAGGAGGAAAGGGAGGAGACGAUCGUGGAGAGGAAGAAGAGGGGCGGUGGUAGAUCGUCGAAUUUGUCCAAGUUCGAGCGAGGUUUCUCCGAACCCAUGGAGGUAGGCAGGUAUCACGAGACGAGAUCGACUGAACGACCCGUUCUCGUUCCCAUCAGGGCGAAAUCGACGCCCUAUUACUCGACGACGAGUUUGAGCGGCGAGUCGACCACAUCGAGUCCACCUAUGCAGAUUAGAACGCAAAUUCGUACGAAAACAAUGUCCUACUCGUCGAGCAGAAGUCCGCAGAGCGAAGGGGACACGUCGUCCAGCAUGGACAGUCCCGUGCAUACGCCUGUUCACGGCCAGAUGGCGGUACGGCGAAGGAGGCGAGAAAAUUUGAAAAGGCGCCACCGUGUGGCGGUCGAUGUCGAGGGGAAAGACGGUCAGAUUGUUUCGAGCACCGACUCGAGUUUCGACGUGGCCACUAUCCCGCCACCGUUGUUGGCCGUUGAACGGUCGAGAUCCGACGUGGACGACGAGGAGGAGGACAUCGAGGACGAGGAUGAAGACGUUGAGGACGACGAGGACGACGAGGACGACGAGAACGACGGCGACGACGACGACGAGUAUUCGGAAGCGAAGGGAAAUCGACGACAGCAACGUUGACGGGACUGCUAACAGAGACGGAAGACAAGUUGCUCAACAUAUAGGUACUUAUUACUAAACUGUUUAUUCCGCGCACUUUCAUCGCGUGGAAUUGCGGAUUCACGAUACCGAGACAGAUAAACAGGGGACACCGGCCAAGAGGCAGCAGGAGAACAACAAUUCGGUUUACGCGAACGAGAAAUCACCCGAGAAACGGACGAACGGUAUCGUAAUGGAAACGAGUAACGCCAGUAUGG